AAUAUGUGAAUUAUUAUUUGUUAUAGUUUUGUUUAUAUUAAAAUAAGAAUAUUAAUUGUUUAAUUAUUAUUUAAGAAAUAAUUUUUUUUAUGAUAGUAAAUUAGUACUGUGAAGGAAUUGAACUAAUUUUUUAAAAGAAAAUUUUAUUUGUUGUACCUUGUGUAUCAGGGUUUAUUAAUUAAAAAUUAUAAAUUAAUAAUUUUCUCGAAUUUAGAAGAGCUAAUUAUUUAUAUAUGUUAUUGUGGAAAAAAUAUUUAUAAUAAAAAAUUUGCAGUGAAACGUUAUUCGUUUCUAAAUAUAUCUAGUUUUUUAAGAAAUAGAUUUAAUCUAAUUAAUUUUAUACAAUUAUUUAAAUUUUUAAUAUUUUGUAUGAAUUAUUAAAUACCUCAGGGGAUGAGCUCUGAGAUAAAAAUUUAUAAAAUAUCUAUUGUGACUUUAAAUUAAUAGGAUUAGAAAUUUCCAUUUUUAGGAGGGUGUUAUAAUUUUUUUAAGGUUUAAUAUUAUUUGAAUUAUUUUUAAGUUUUUUAUUAAAAUUUAAGUUUAAUUUUUUUUUAUUUAGUAAUAAUGAUAAAAUUAGUAUAUUUACUUGUAUUUUUAUGGAUAUAUUCAAGGUUAAUAAAAGGAAUUCGGCAAAAGAUUUUUUACCUGUUUAAUAAAAACAUGUCCUUUUGACUAUAAUUUAAGGUCUAGCCUGCCCACUGAGUAGUUAAAUGGCCGCGGUAAUUUGACCGUGCAAAGGUAGCAUAAUAAUUAGUUUUUUAAUUGAAAGCUGGAAUGAAUGGUUGGAUAAAAAAAUAACUGUCUCUUGUUAAGUUAGAUAUAAAUUUAUUUUUGAGUAAAAAAGCUCAAAUUCUAUUAAAAGACGAGAAGACCCUAUAGAGUUUUAUAUUCACAAAUUUAAUUUUAUUAGUAUUUUUAAUUUUAAAAUAAGUGUUUAUUUGGUUGGGGUGAUUGAAAAAUUUGGUAAACUUUUUUUUACGUUUAACACUAAUGGGUGGGGGAUUGAUCCGGAAUUUUCGAUUAUAAGAUAAAAUUACCUUAGGGAUAACAGCGUUAUUUCUUUUGAGAGUUCAAAUCGAAAAAGAAGUUUGCGACCUCGAUGUUGGAUUAAAAUUAAAUUUUGGUGUAGAAGCUAAAAGUUUGGGUCUGUUCGACCUUUAAAAUUUUACAUGAUCUGAGUUUAGACCGGCGUGAGCCAGGUUGGUUUCUAUCUUUAGUAAAUUAAAAUAUUUUAGUACGAAAGGACCAAGUAUUUGAUAAACUAUCUAUUUUUUGAACAAUAUU
rnacentral:rRNA from 1 species